AUGCUGCUGUGGUGCGAUGCUGCUGUUGUGUGCUGCUGCUGUGGUGUCAUACUGCUGACUUGUGUCAUGGCAGUACUCACAAAGCCAGGACAGCCCAGACUUCAGGUACCAGCCAAAAGGGCUUCAGCCAGACAUGGCAUGGACUCGUUCUACCUCCCAGCCUUCCAGAAGCCACUUUGCCAGGGCUGCCAUGUGAACUCAGUUAAUUACAGAGGAGGAAAUUAUGGCCGCAUAGACUUCACAGAGAAUUUUCAGUAUAGGUGUUCACAUCAAUCUGGGACACAACAGAAGGAAGAAGUUGCUAUGGUUGCACGGAGAUGGCAGCACAAUCUGUACCGACUGCAGUCAGCAAGUGCAAAGAGUUUAAUUAUCUAAAAUAAUUGCACUUCUUGAAGCCUAUUUUUGCUGUUUGCUUAAACCCACCAAGCAUUGAUGCCAUAUAAUUUCUCCAGAUACCUGAGCAUCUGGAACCUCCAGUGGUUUGUCCCAUGAGCUAGUCUUUGUGACUUGCCAUACCACCCCAUCAUCAACCAACUGAAAUCAAUGAAAUGACCAACUCGGUUACAGGACCGUUUAGGGGAAAUACAGAGUUCAUUGUACAUCUGAAAUUUAGAAGUGUGUAAUCACAGAGACUGAAACUAGCCCUUAGCUCUUCAGAACAAAAUCCCUCCUAGGGACUGAAGAGUUUGCAUACUUUUGUAGGUUUAGGACACCAUUUUACCCCCCAGCUUGUGGAAACUCUGCUUAAUGGCACCUGUAACCAUUAGAAAUGAUUACAGCCCUCAGAGUGUCAUAAUUGGGUACCACAGUUUGCGCUGCAAGCAUUGCUCUAUGGAGCUGCGCUUUCCAACCAGAACUCUUCAGUCAAAGGUUACUGAGAGCCACCUCCCAUCUCCAUGAUAAUUUCCCUCUCUAUAAUGCGUCCCUUUUUUGUUUCAUCUGACAUUUCUAUCACCUUUAAGAAGCCUCAUAUAGACAGGGCCAUGAGGUUUGGAUGUAAUUGGCAUAUGGAUGGAGCUUAGGUUUUUUAAUACACAGUUUUUAUAAGACUGCUUUUAUGUUUGCCUUUGCUCUUUGAUCUCCACUUGAAAAACGUUUUUCAUGGAGUUUGUUUGAAAGCACAAAUAAUCGCUUACCACAACUGAGGGCUAGCAAAUAGUUCUAGAAAAGAAAGAAAACCAAAGAGAAUCCAUGAGCUGACAGAGAUGCCUUGAAAGAUGUUUUAGAAACAGCUUGUAACGGCACAUUUUGCAGGACUGUUCAUCAAGUUAAUUCUCCUGUUGCAUUGGCAUUCUUGGAUAUGGUAAUAACAACAAGGAAGCAUGUAAUGGAUUUCUAAAAUGGGAGUGUUUUAAUAGAUUUUAGUAAAUUACAUCGUAUUCAAUAUUGCAGUAUUGUGACACAAUGCACUACAAUGAAAGAUAAAGUCACUUGCGGACAUAAUCUGUGGUUCAAGAAUAAAUACGAUGAUACCCAUGAAUGAUGAGAUGUA
rnacentral:lncRNA from 1 species